UACGGAAGGCAGCAGUGGGGAAUAUUGCACAAUGGGCGAAAGCCUGAUGCAGCUAUGCCGCGUGUAUGAAGAAGGCCUUAGGGUUGUAAAGUACUUUCAUCGGGGAGGAAAAACAAAACUAAUAAUUUUAUUUCUUGACGUUACCCGAAAAAGAAGCACCGGCUAACUCCGUGCCAGCAGCCGCGGUAAUACGGAGGGUGCUAGCGUUAAUCAGAAUUACUGGGCGUAAAGAGCACGUAGGUGGUUUUUUUAAAGUCAGAUGUGAAAUCCCUGGGCUUAACCUAGGAACUGCAUUUUGAAACUGAAAUACUAGAGUAUCGUAGAGGGAGGUAGAAUUCUAGGUGUAGCGGUGAAAUGCGUAGAUAUCUGGAGGAAUACCUGUGGCGAAAGCGGCCUCCUAAACGAAUACUGACACUGAGGGUGCGAAAGCGUGGGGAGCAAACAGGGAUUAGAUA
rnacentral:rRNA from 1 species